AAUUACAACUUUUGAUUAUUUUGUUCUUUUAGUUUUGACCAUGCUGACCAAUGAAACUGGUUUUGAAAUCAGUUCUUCUGAUGCUACAGUGAAGAUUCUCAUUACGACAGUGCCACCCAAUCUCCGAAAACUGGACCCGGAACUCCACUGUUAGUCCUUUUUUCCAUUGCUGAAAAGUGUGGGGGAAAUAAAAUGCAUGGUAUCUUUGCUGAGUUUUUUUAUUUCAUAGGAAGCUUUCUGGAAAUUGAAGGACUUAAGUUUACCCUGUACUUUGGAAAUAACUUUACAAGCUUCCUAGUGAAAUUUUCAAAGAUAGGAUAGCCAGGAAGAAAAUUUGGAACAAUUAAAAAGGAUGGUGGAAAUAUUUGUGAAGAAAGGAGGAUAGAUUUUUGGAGAAUAUCAGAUCUUGCAUGCUUCUAGAUUUAGUUUGGAAUAGGUGUAAUAAUUUUGGAAUAAGUGACUUGCUGAUCUGAGGAACAUGAGAUGGUUUAACAAAAUUGUUAAAAAUUAGCUUGCUUCUCCUUCUAAGUUUCUGAACCAUGGUGGUGGCAGGACUGGAUUGCUUGCUUAAUACCAGGAUUGUUUCACGUUGGUCUGUCAUGCUUUAUCUAGUGGAUAUCAAGGUGUUGCAGAGUGCUUUAGCAGCCAUCCGACAUGCCCGCUGGUUCGAGGAAAAUGCUUCUCAGUCCACGUGAGUCGGUCUCUGGUCAUUUUCAGAUAACCUUUCUAACUGAAUAGCAGGAUUUCCCCAUACUUCCUCUGAUAGAACUGUUUUGGCCAUGAUCUGUUGGAUUUUCAUUUUUACUUUAAGCAAAUUAAGAUUGAAAGAAGAGCACAUGCGGUUUUAUAAAUAGUAUAGUCAGCUUCAACUCUACCUCAGGUGUGGAAAUGUGAUCUUAUUACCUUUUUUUGUGGGGUGGGCUACCAGGGAUUGAAUUCAGGGGCAUUUGAUACUAAGCCACAUCCCCAGCCCUAUUUUAUAUUUUAUUUAGAGACAGGGUCUCACAGAGUUGCUUAGUACCUCGCUUUUUCUGAGGCUGGCUUUGAACUCUAGAUCCUCCUGUCUCAGCCUCCAGAGUUAAUGGGAUUACAGGCGUGCACCAUUUUGCCCAGCAGUGAUGUUAACUACUUUUAAUCCUUGGAUCUCUUUUACAUUCAGAGUUAAAGUUCUCAUCAGACUGCUCAAGGACUUAAGGAUUCGUUUUCCUGGCUUUGAGCCCCUCACACCCUGGAUCCUUGACCUACUUGUAAGUAAACAAGGACAAUAGGAAUUCCUACGCAUUCAUAUUGGUAGUACUUACUGUGAAACCUACCAGAAUCUGAAAUUCAGUAAAGCUUAAAAAGAAAUUCAGUGGACAGGCGAUCUAGUAGAUUCAAAGUUUAUUAUUUCAUUGGGUUCUGGGAGUAUUUGAUUAAAUGAGUAGUUACUGAGUUACAGUGCCCCUUUUGUUUUUAUUACUGUUAUUUCAUUAUUGUGAUACUGGAAAGAAAUGAACAAAUGAGGACCAAUUUCAGAAUUUCUUCUGGAUGUGUUUUGGCUAGACUUUAAUGACUUAUUUUCCUUGUGAUGAUUUAUUCAAGUUUAAAUUUGCUUACCAGACUUACUCUUUUCUAGGGGCACUAUGCUGUGAUGAAUAACCCCACCAGACAGCCUUUGGCCCUAAAUGUGGC
rnacentral:lncRNA from 1 species